rnacentral:lncRNA from 1 species
GUUCCCUUCCGUCAUCUUUCUCCGGCCGAGGCCACUAACCAUUAAUCUCAGGGUCUUUGCAACCACUGUGACGAAAAGUAUACUUCGGACCAUAAAUACAAGUCCAAACUGCAACUUCUUCUCUUCGAUGAUGAAUGUAGUGUCUAAUCUUCUGCCUCUGAUGAACAACAACAGAUCGAAGCCUCAGAUGUUUCCCUCGUUGAUCUUCAGCAACUUCAAGAGGUUCUCACAGCCUUGUUGGCGGCG